UUGCAAAUAUCCUCACUGUUCAGAUUCCCAUAAUAAUAAGGGCAGGCUAAACAUAUGCUAUAUUAAGAUCAUGCAUGUGUUCCCAGACCUAAUUUUUUUAAAUAAUAUUUUAUUUAUUUUGAAUAAAGAC
rnacentral:snoRNA from 1 species